rnacentral:rRNA from 1 species
UGCCCUUGACUUUGGGAUAACUUCAGGAAACUGGGGCUAAUACCGGAUAGGAGCUCCUGCUGCAUGGUGGGGGUUGGAAAGUUUCGGCGGUUGGGGAUGGACUCGCGGCUUAUCAGCUUGUUGGUGGGGUAGUGGCUUACCAAGGCUUUGACGGGUAGCCGGCCUGAGAGGGUGACCGGCCACAUUGGGACUGAGAUACGGCCCAG